GGUCUGAGCCUGCUGAAGUCAGUUGGUGAAGCAAAAGAAGACAGGCAGAGUAAGAUGGCAGAGAAGGACUCUCCAGCGACCAUCUUUCAAUAGAAACAUCAAUUUGAACAACUAUCCACACAUGAAACAAAUCUUCGUAAGACUCAGGAAACCAGGUGCAGGACAAAGGACAGACAGAACUCAGUCAACCCUCUGCUCACCUGAGAAAAAGUGCAUAUCUAAUUGCUUCUUUGGCCCUAUUGUUUAUGCAAGAAUGCUGAUUCAUUUGUCUAUUUUGGCUUUUGUUGCCAUUGCUUUUGGUGUUUGAGUCAUGAAGUUGUUGCCCAUGCCUAUGUCCUGAAUGAUAUUGCCUAGGUUUUCUCCUAGGGUUUUUAUGGUUUUAGGUCUUACAUUUAAGUCUUUAAUCCAUCUAGAGUUAAUUUUUGUAUAAGAUGUAAGGAAGGGAUCCAGUUUCAGCUUUCUGUAUAGGGCUAGCCAGAUUUCCCAACACCAUUUAUUAAAUAGGGAAUCCAUUGGGAUCUGAUUAAACUAAACAGCUUCUGCACAGCAGAGGAAACUAUCACCAGAAUGAACAGGCAACCUACAGAAUGGGAGAAAAUUGUUGCAAUAUAUCCAUCUGACAAAGAGCUAAUAUCCAGAAUCUACAAAGAACUUAAACAAACUUACAAGAAAAAAACAACCCCAUCAAAAAGUGGGCAAAGGAUAUGAACAGACACUUCUCAAAAUAAAACAUUUAUGCAGCCAACAAACAUAUGAAAAAAAGCUCAUCAUCACUGGUCAUUAGAGAAAUGCAAAUCAAAACCACAGUGAGAUACCAUCUUACACCAGUUAGAAUGGCGAUCAUUAAAAAGUCAGGAAACAACAGAUGCUGGUGAGGAUGUGGAGGGAUAAGAACACUUUUACACUGUUACUGGGAGUGUAAAUUAGUUCAACCAUUGUGGAAGACAGUGUGGCAAUUUCUCAAGGAUCUAGAACUAGAAAUACCAUUUGACCCAGCAAUCCUAUUUCUGGGUAUAUACCCAAAGGAUUGUAAAUCAUUCUACUAUAAAGACACAUGCACACGUAUGUUUAUUGUGGCACUGUUCACAGUAGCAAAGACUUGGAACCAACUCAAAUGCUCAUCAAUGAUAGACUGGAUAAAGAAAAUGUGGCACAGAUAUGCCAUGGAAUACUAUGCAGCCAUAAAAAGAUGAGUUCAUGUCCUGUGCAGGGACAUGGGUGAAGCUGGAAACCAUCAUCCUCAGCAAAGUAACACAAGAACAGAAAACCAAACACUGCAUGUUCUCACUCAUAAGUGGGAGUUGAACAAUGAGAACACAUGGACACAGGGAGGGGAACAUCCCACCAGAGCCUAGUGGAGGGUGGGGACUAGGGGAGGGAUAGCGUUGGGAAAAAUACCUAAUGUAGAUGAUGGUUUGAUGGUUGCAGCAAAUCACCAUGGCAUGUGUAUACCUAGGUAACAAAUCUGCACAUUCUGCACAUGUACCCCAGCACUUAAAGUAUAAUUAAAAAAGCCAAAAAGAAAUGCAGAUUCACUAGGCCUGUCCAAAGCAUAAGUCACUAUUCCUCUAUGCCACCUCAUAUGUAAAUUUUGUAUUUAAUGAAAGGCUAAUCACAGUAUUCAGUGAAAAGCUAAUGAGAGACUCAAAAGAAUACAACCAUUUGUCUCUUAUCCAACUUUCAGUUGCACUGCCUUUCAGGACAGAACAAACGUACAGCUUAUACAUAUUGAUUGAUGUCUCAUGUCUCCCUAAAAUGUAUAAAAUCAAACUAUGCUCUGACCACCUUAGGCAUGUGUCUUCAAGAUCUCCUGAGGCUGUGUCACAGGUACAUCCUUAACCUUGGCAAAAUAAACUUUCUAAACUGAUUGAGACCUGUCUCAGAUAGUUUUGAGUUUACAAAUCCAUUACCAUAAAGGAAUUCUGAGGGGAGGUUCCCUUGAUCUUUCACAAAUCUCCUAUUUGAGCUUGGUACCCGUUUUAGUUAUCCUUAUGACUCAAACCAGUAGGACAAUUUGCUGAGCCCUGGGAGCUCCCCACUUCUAGAGAAUCCCUAAUCUCUCAAAAUUGGGUUGAGAUGUAAAGUUUAUUUUGCUUUACAACUACUUUUUUAGAGUUUUAAUUCCUUCCAACAAGGAAGGCAAGUUUUCCCGCUUCCAUGAUAAUGUAGAGCAGAUAACUCCUUUCUGGAGUUUCAGUUAGUUUCCAACAGGAAAGGCAAGUUUGAAGCUUUUGUUCCCUGCUUCUAAGAUGAUAGAGAGAAGUCUUGAGCCAAGGCCUCAUUCCUAAGAGAGGUGAAGCCCACUGGGCUUCUGGGUCGGGUGGGGACUUGGAGAACUUUUCUGUCUAGCUAAAGGAUUGUAAACACACCAAUCAGCACUCUGUGUCUAGCUAAAGGUUUGUAAAUGCACCAAUCAGCACUCUGUGUCUAGCUAAAGAUUUGUAAAUGCACCAAUCAGCACUCUGUAAAAACGCACCAAUCAGAGCUCUGUGUCUAGCUAAAGGUUUGUAAAUGCACCAAUCAACACUCUGUAAAAUGGACCAAUCAGCACUCCAUAAGAUGGACCAAUCAGCAGGACAUGGGCAGGGCCAAAUAAGGGAAUAAAAGUUGGCCACCCAAGCCAGCAGUGGCAACCCGCUGGGGUCCCCUUCCAUGCCGUGGAAGCUUUGUUCUCUUGCUCUUCACAAUAAAUCUUGCUGCUGCUCACUCUUUGGGUCCACACUACCUUUAUGAGCUGUAACACUCACUGCGAAGGUCUGCAGCUUCACUCCUGAAGUCAGUGACACCACGCACCCACUGGGAGGAACAAACAACUCCCAACGCACCAACUUUAAGAGCUGUAACACUCACUGUGAAGGUCUGCGGUUUCACCCCUGAAGUCAGCGAGACCACGAACCCACAAGGAGGAACAAACCACUCUGGACGCGCCACCUUUAAGAGCUGUAACACUCACUGAGAAAGUCUGGGGCUUCACACCUGAAGUCAAGUGAGACCACAAACCCACUGGAAGGAAGAAGCUCCAGACACAUCUGAACAUCUGAAGGAACAAACUCUGGACACACCAUCUUUAAGAACUGUAACACUAACCACAAGGGUCCGUGGCUUCAUUCUUGAAGUCAGCAAGACCAAGAAUCCACCAGAAGGAACCAAUUCUGGACACACUAGCUAUGUAGCUAAAUUUGGGUUUUUGUCUUGGAAAUUCUUCUUAAAUAUUAAAAGUUAAAAUUGACAAUGA